GGCGGCCAUGGCGGGCCUCGAGCUCGGGCCGUGGAGGGAGGCACAGACCAGGGGCCUCCUCACGGCGGCCACCGGAGGGAGGAGCAGAGGCUCCUCGCGGCGGCGGCAGCUCCUCGCGGCGGUCGCGGGAGGAAGAAGAAGGGAGGAGAGAGGGAGGAGGCUGACAUAUGUGCCCCACAUGUAAGGGUCCACAUCACUGCACUGUCAGCCUGCCACAUCGGCUUCUAGGGUAUGGCGUGACUGAAUUGGACCUAGAUGACCCAUUUAGAUAGUUUAGGGAAUAAAAAAUGCAAUUUCAUAGUAUGAGGACCUGGAUGAGAAUCGUCCGAUAGUUUAGGGACCGGCCAUGAAAUUUACUCUUUAUAGAGCAUAGGAGUACUUUUUAGCAGUGGGUGGAUGAAGUUACCGGAAAGAAUCAUAUCGCUUUAAUUAUCGCAUCUUUAUCAGAAAGGAGAAGAGCUGCUUUAAUUUGCUUAUGUGAGGAACGCAUCAAAUACGUUCAUAGUGAGCCCCCUUUUUUUAUCGGAAAGAGUACUGAUGAGUAGGGUACAUACUCAGGUCGGUCAUGAAGCAUGAACUCUCCCGCCUCCCCACAAAGCCUUUUUGACUUGGGGGAUGAGAACUGUUAUUCAGUUUCGCAGAGCUGCUGCUCCCAAUUCAGUCUGAACUAAUACUCCCGAUCGAGCCUGUAAGCCGACCAGCUUGAUCACAUGGAGUAUCUCUCCGUCUCUGUGGUAACCUGAACGCGAGUUAAUCUGUUCCAAGAAACCAAUACUCGCUAUCGAGCCUACGGCUGGUGGUUGCAUACACAUCUCGUUUUGCUGGUGUCCUAGCAAAGCUAUCACUCAAUUCUGCCACCGGUCGGUCACAGGCACCAAGAGCUAAGGCCAGCAACGAGUCUUGCAGAUGCGCUGUACAGGAUCAGUGAUGGAAGUGGACGAGAAGGGCAGGAGCAUCUGAUUUGCAUCACAGGCCUGGGCCCUCUUUACGACGCCAAAACCUACCACUGGUUUAUUUGUACACCUCGGGUGUCGUGUCAAUAAGCAGCAAUUUCCUCGCAGUUUCGAGGAAAGACAGCGCGAAAGAGAAGAAACUGCAUGGCAAGA